CACGCCGCGUGAGUGAUGAAGGUUUUCGGAUCGUAAAGCUCUGUUGUUAGGGAAGAACAAGUACCGUUCGAAUAGGGCGGUACCUUGACGGUACCUAACCAGAAAGCCACGGCUAACUACGUGCCAGCAGCCGCGGUAAUACGUAGGUGGCAAGCGUUGUCCGGAAUUAUUGGGCGUAAAGGGCUCGCAGGCGGUUUCUUAAGUCUGAUGUGAAAGCCCCCGGCUCAACCGGGGAGGGUCAUUGGAAACUGGGGAACUUGAGUGCAGAAGAGGAGAGUGGAAUUCCACGUGUAGCGGUGAAAUGCGUAGAGAUGUGGAGGAACACCAGUGGCGAAGGCGACUCUCUGGUCUGUAACUGACGCUGAGGAGCGAAAGCGUGGGGAGCGAACAGGAUUAGAUACCCUGGUAGUCCACGCCGUAAACGAUGAGUGCUAAGUGUUAGGGGGUUUCCGCCCCUUAGUGCUGCAGCUAACGCAUUAAGCACUCCGGCUUGGGGAGA
rnacentral:rRNA from 1 species